UAAGUGGAACUAGAAAUUUGUUUGUGGUGAAAGGGGAACAGAUAGGCUUUGUUAUUUCUGUUUUAACUUAUACCAUUUUCUUACAUUCCAUAUUUUUCAGAGUAUAAGACGGACCUUAGCUUUUGGGGAGAAAAUAAGAAAAAAGAGGAUUGGCAGGUGGAUCGGCCUCCAAUCAGCUGUUCCCAGAGAUGACAAAGAUGAAAUGCCAGUCCGAUGCGGAGUUAGGCUCCAGGCUAAAAAACACCUUGAGAAAGCUCCAAAUGAAGUGUGCCUCUUGUUAGAGGAAUCCAAAUCAAUCAAGCAAUACAUACAUCAAAAAUAAC